rnacentral:rRNA from 1 species
UCUGACCGAGGUAAAACCCGUCGCUCUGUGUUACCUCUGAGGCACACGUUAAAGAUCGUUCCGCAUUGUGAGUCUAACACCAGUUGUAUAAACUUUUUACAACCGGUAGCGAUGGAUCCCUUGGCACGUCAUUCGAUGAAGACCGUUGCAAAUUGCGAUAAAGUGAUGUGAUGCGCAAGUCCACCACUUAUACGUGAAUCAUCGAGUUGUUGAACGCAUUGCACCGCGCCCUAAUCCGGCUGCGGUAUGCCCCUUUGAGCGUCAUUGUAUUCCUUCGGGAGUCCUUUUUACAAAGGACCCGAGUUCGGAGUCCUCGGUCCUCUGGAUCGUGUUCUCUUAGAUGCGUCGCACCGAUCGCCUGAUGGGUCUCUAAUGCCUAAGCGUGGAGUUCCUUCAGAGUCCGAGAGGUGCUUGACCGGGUGUUGAGCUCGCGUCACCAAGUCUGCCUCACAAGCAGUACUACAACGCAUGACCUCAUUGGGGUAGGACAACCCGCUAGACUUAAGCAUAUUAAUCAGCGGAGGAAAAGAAACUAACCAGGAUUCCCUCAGUAACUGCGAGUGAAGCGGGAUCGGCUCAA